rnacentral:lncRNA from 1 species
GUCUUGCAGGCUGGGGUCCCAGGUGAGAGAUGCCAGCAGGGAGCUCUAGAUGGGGAACUGGGUGAGCCUGGCUCGGUAAGGGCGUGCUCAGAACACCCCAUCCCCGAACACGGUCUUGUGUGAUAAAAUGUCACGCAAGAAGAAUCUGAAACCGCGAGAAGAGGAGGACACGGCCAGACUGCACCGAACCCCGGCACCUCUGUGGGGAAAAGCAGGUCAGGCUGAGCGGGGCCGGCGGGGACACGCGCUCCUGGGCUUCUCCAGAGUCUGCCGGGGCCGGGCCCGGGACCGAGGCUGGGACGCGCUGUGCAGUCCCACCCCUCACACCCCUCGCACGCCUGGAAACACCCUCGGGGUAACACAAGCCGGGGUUGAGUUUCUUGAAGAGAAGCUGGCUGCAUCCUGGAGCCAGGGAAAGAGGAGCACAGGGGCCAAGCGGUCCAGGGCCACGGAGGAGCAGGACCCCUGGGGAAAGGCCCGGGUCUAGGCCGGGGCCAGGGGACCGUGGUGGAGACCUCAAAAAUGGCAGAACACGGAAGCAGGGCGAGAAAAGUAAACGUAGUCCUUGCGGCAGUUUGAAAUACACGCGGGUAAACGCUGGGUGACUCCGCCCGGAUGCAGAGUGGGGGUCUGUGUCUCUCCCCACAGGCUGCAGGGACCGGGCUCUGGGUAACCAGCAGAAGGUAACAGAACGAGGCUGCUUUUCCUCCAGGCUGUUCUGGUGUCCGCGCGUGGCUUGUGCGCUGACUCCUGACUUGGAGCGCCGCGUGGCCAGAGAAAUCUGGGUGCCUCCAGGCCACCAUGGUGAGAGGAGAGGCCACCGCACGAACGGAAGAAGCGAUGGAGACGGUCUUUACGACCUAAGAACAGAAAGAGUUUCUUAUACACAAUCCGAAAAGUAAAAAUUGAUUGAUUGAUUGAUUGAGAUGGAAUCCCACUCUGUCGUCCAGGUUAGAGUGCAAUGGCUUGAUCUCGGCUCAUUGCAACCUCCGCCUCCCGGGUUCAAGCGAUUCUCCUGCCUCAGUCUCCCGAGUAGCUGGGAUUAUAGGCGCCCGCCACCACGACUGGCUAAUUUUUAUAUUUUUAGUAGAGACGCAGUUUCACCGUGUUGACCAGGCUGGUCUUGAACCCCUGACCUCAGGUGAUCCGCCUGCCUCGGUCUCCCAAAGUGCUGGGAUUACAGGCGUGAGCCACCGUGCUGGGCCAAAAAUCAAUUUUAAAACGACCACAUGAAAAAUAAAUCUCCUGUAUCACAGAGCAUGUUCUGAGGAAAAUGAAAGCCACAGAUCCAGAAGAUAUUUGUGACACAUAUGAAAAACAAAAACUCAUAUUCAAAACAUACACAGCAUUGCUAUGAAUCAUUAAGAAAAAUGAUUUCGUCUCCUCUACAGGAGCCUGAGUGAAGGACAAGGACAGAUCAUUAUAAACCAGGGAGCUUGAAGAGCUAGUUAACAAGCACAGAAAAUAUGUUCCCCCACACUGUUAAUCAAGAAAAUUAAAACUGUAAUGAGAUGCCGCAUUGUAUCCAUGGGAUUUCUAAAAGUACAAAGUUCCACAAUACCCGUUGUUGACGGAGCAGGGAAACCGCAGGAGCCUGCAGGAGAUGAGAUUGUAAAUGUGCAAGGACAUUUUGGAGAAGAGUUGACAACAUCUCACUCACGUGUAUCAAGCCAAGUGCCGAAAGAAGAAUUGGUUGUCAUAAAGAAAACAGAAACCCAGAAUGGAUGUAGCUUAUCCCUCCGAUGGAAAGUUACAAAGAAGUUAAAAUGAAUGGGCUGCAUCUCUGUGUAACAAUUUGGAUCAAUAUCAAAGACACAUUUGUUAAAGCAAGGUGUACAAUGAAACCUGCAACAUGAUUUGUCUGUUUAGUAAAACACAGAAAAUCUAACUCCGCCUGGCUUACGAACACACACAUGUGUUAGAAUUUGGGAAAAGGAAAGGGAGGGAGGCCGGCUACACGUGAACUUUUGGAAAAUCUCAGAGGGUCUGGGGCACCAGGUGGAGACCAUGGCAGCCUUCAGGGAUAUGAGAAGGAUGUGUUUGCUUCCCCUUCUGCCAUGAUUGGAAGUUUCCUGAGACCCCUCCAGCCAUGCUGAACUGAUUUCCUGAAGACACCAUCCCAGUCAAGUGGUCUGCCUCAUACUGAGCCACCAGACCACCCAGCAUGUCCUCACCCGCGUGGACAGAUGACAGGGGGCUCUGAGCAUGCCCCAGUGCACCUUACGCACCUGUGAAGGUUGGGAGCCUGAGUGCAGCUCCUGUGGCACUGCCCGUGGCCAGGGAGAUGCCUCCUCAGUGCUCCUGACCCUCGGUGGAGGACCGGCCAGCGUGUGUGCCGACAGUGUGUCCACACAGGUGUGCUGCGCCCAAUGGGCAAGUCGGAAACAAAGGAAAAUGCUCUCUGAAGGAAAAGGCAAAGCAAUUUGGAUUUCUGCGAGAAAAUGAGACUGCAUGUGGCACUGGACACUACACAGGCCCGUGACCAUCACACGCCCAGCCUGGCCCCGUGCUGUGCCUGAGCAGAGGACUGUUGGCAGAUGGUUCACUUCCACCCUCCAUGAUAAAUGCUGAGAAAAGAAAGAUCAAGGGCUUCAGAGCCCACUGGAGGGAAUUCAUACAGCCGGGGGCCCAGGAAGCUGCUAAGGAAACUGCCUGGACGGCAGGGUGGCCGUGACCACGGGGACGGGGAGAAGGACCCAGAGGAGCUGAGGAAUCCUUGCUGUGGAAGGCACCAUAUGAGCUGCGUGAAGUCAGAGUCAAAAGCAAACCCGUCUCUUCUUGACAGUGGGACCCAGGAGGCAGGACAACCUGCCAGAGAGGCUGAAGGAGGUUCCCUCAGGCUGGAUCCUCGACAAGAAAAAGGAAGAGGGUCUGCCUGAUUCCCUCGCCAACAACAGCUGGUCUUCCAGAAGUCAGCAAUCUCUUGUCCCUUGUCUUCAAAAGCCCAUGGAGCUGGAGGCAGGCAGCUGAGGUCAGGAAGAGAAGGUGCGACCCAGUCCAGGAAGGCUGAGUCCUCGUGAACCCUCAGGGCUGGGGUGAGGGGCCAGUGCCCGGCCCAGACACCAGCACAGCCCUGCAGUGGGAGUUGAUCUCAGCAGAUGGACGGGCACCGCCCAGAGGAUGGACUGGUCAGCACCGCCCGGAGGAUGGACCGCUCAGCACCGCAGUGGCCGCUUGGCCUAAUUUGCCACCUGAAGAGCCGCCAGGUCUCCAGUGACUCUAGCACCAUGGACAGGAGAGGAGCAGGGUGACCUGAGGGUACAGAGAAGGUUCUGCUGUAAUCAAGUUCCCCUGCCUGGUCAGAGGGCUCAGAGGUUUGAGAGGGGAGGGAUUUCCUUUUAAAGCUGCAGGAUCCCUGUGGGUCCAGAAAGAAACACAGCCAUGGCGGGCAUCCCAUGGAGGGUAGUGACCAGGAGCAGGACAAAGGUGGAAGGUGGGUGGAGCCCCCACAUGGGCCUCAGGUCACAUUGGACAUUUCCUCAGCAAGUGUCACCUGGGUGGUGACGAAUGGGGGAGGAGAACAGAUGGAAUGCGGAGAGUAGCAGUGUGAAGCUGCACCGCCUGGUCACCACUCGAGAUACACAGGGUUUGCUCUGCCUGAGGAGCACACGCUGGCUGCAGACACGGGGCAACCACGUGAGAAAGGUCAGACCCAGGCCCACUCGCCUUCCAUAUGCAUCUUAGGGACGGGGAUGCCUGCGCCAGCAGCAGCCUUGCUGCCCCUGCGUCCCCCAGUGCACCUGCCAGGGCAAAGCCAACAGGCAGUGCCAAGGACCUGAGGGAGGAGGUGGGCUUGACUUCGAGGCAGGGCACAGACACCAGACCACGUGGAGGAGCAGCUGAAACAGGGCCGGUGGCAGCAGCCGCCUGUGAGACGUGCCAGCCGGUGAGCCUUGUUAGUUUACCAUUGCCACGGCAAGACCCAGAAGUUACUGCCACUUCCCACGGUAAAAUCCCAAUGACCCUGAGGUUUCUGCUCCUUUUCUAGAAAUUUCUGCAUAAACCAACCCCUAAUUAGCAUGUAGUUAAAAGUGGGUGUAAUUAUGAUGCGGAGCUGCCUCUGAGCUGCUCUUCUGUGCACUCUGCUGUCCUGGGGCAGCCCCUCUGCUGCCGCUGCAAUAAAAGCUGCUAACAGCA